GGGUAGUUUGACUGGGGCGGUCUCCUCCUAAAGAGUAACGGAGGAGCACGAAGGUUGGCUAAUCCUGGUCGGACAUCAGGAGGUUAGUGCAAUGGCAUAAGCCAGCUUGACUGCGAGCGUGACGGCGCGAGCAGGUGCGAAAGCAGGUCAUAGUGAUCCGGUGGUUCUGAAUGGAAGGGCCAUCGCUCAACGGAUAAAAGGUACUCCGGGGAUAACAGGCUGAUACCGCCCAAGAGUUCAUAUCGACGGCGGUGUUUGGCACCUCGAUGUCGGCUCAUCACAUCCUGGGGCUGAAGUAGGUCCCAAGGGUAUGGCUGUUCGCCAUUUAAAGUGGUACGCGAGCUGGGUUUAGAACGUCGUGAGACAGUUCGGUCCCUAUCUGCCGUGGGCGCUGGAGAACUGAGGGGGGCUGCUCCUAGUACGAGAGGACCGGAGUGGACGCAUCACUGGUGUUCGGGUUGUCAUGCCAAUGGCACUGCCCGGUAGCUAAAUGCGGAAGAGAUAAGUGCUGAAAGCAUCUAAGCACGAAACUUGCCCCGAGAUGAGUUCUCCCUGACUCCUUGAGAGUCCUGAAGGAACGUUGAAGACGACGACGUUGAUAGGCCGGGUGUGUAAGCGCAGCGAUGCG
rnacentral:rRNA from 1 species